UACGUAGGGUGCAAGCGUUAAUCGGAAUUACUGGGUUUAAAGGGUCCGUAGGCGGUCUUAUAAGUCAGUGGUGAAAUCUCCCCGCUCAACGGGGAAACGGCCAUUGAUACUGUAGGACUUGAAUUAUUAGGAAGUAACUAGAAUAUGUAGUGUAGCGGUGAAAUGCUUAGAGAUUACAUGGAAUACCAAUUGCGAAGGCAGGUUACUACUAAUAUAUUGACGCUGAUGGACGAAAGCGUGGGUAGCGAACAGG
rnacentral:rRNA from 1 species